rnacentral:rRNA from 1 species
GACAGAGGAUGCAAGCGUUAUCCGGAAUGAUUGGGCGUAAAGCGUCUGUAGGUGGCUUUUUAAGUCCGCCGUCAAAUCCCAGGGCUCAACCCUGGACAGGCGGUGGAAACUACCAAGCUGGAGUACGGUAGGGGCAGAGGGAAUUUCCGGUGGAGCGGUGAAAUGUGUAGAUAUUGGAAAGACCACCGAUGGCGAAGGCACUCUACUGGGCCAUGACUGACACUGAGAGACGAAAGCUAGGGGAGCAAAUGGGG